CUAUCUCCCAUAAUGCUUAGCCGUAGCUCCGAGUGGCUAAGACUUCUGGGAGUUGAAG
rnacentral:pre_miRNA from 1 species